ACUUAGGCAUAAAAACAUUAUAAUGUACAUUAAGAAGGAUAACUGCUUAGUAUGUUUGUAACUUACAGACAAUCCUGAUUUCACCAUGAAAAUGUGUCCAGUAGUUAUGAACGACUUUGAAGAUCAUGAGAAUUAAUUGGUCAAAAAGUGUGGGAACCCUGAUAUUAGUUGGGGAAAUAUGCUUUAUGGUUGGAGAGAGUUAAUUUCAGUGUCUUGUACAGGUGUACUUGUUCUGCAGUGGUUUCUCCGAGAGUCUAAUGGGGCCUUAAGAGAGCCAGAGGGGAAGCACAACACUUCUAGAUUCCAGAGAGCUGCUCAAGCACUUCACUUCUGACAAACUGCCUAGCGGAGGACUACUGCCAUUGCUUAGAGCUGAACAUGCAUUCCGGAUGUCUCCUGACAUAACACCCAGGGAAGUGACCAAGCUCCCAUUUUAACAGGCUGCCAGAUGCCACAACCAUGGAAUAAACAUUCAGGUUCUGUCUGGUUGUACAUAAGCCUCUUGACCGAGACCACGGUUUUGUGAAGCUGCAAUCUCGUCUAUGAAGAUAUGAGUACCUGCUGCACAGUGAACUGGCCAGCCUCAAAUGCCACUACCGUGAAACAGACUCACACAUCCAACAACACAAGAGAUCUGUUUAGCUUUGCAAAGUCGCCAUGACAGACCGUCUGUUUGGGCUUUCAACCGAGCUACUGAUUCACUGACACUGGACGGCUGACAGUAGAACAGCAGAUCUACAACAAGAAAAUAUGUCGAAGCACGGGUAGUGGUUGAAAACGCUUUUGGUAGACUGAAGGGAAGGUGGCGUUGCCUCAUGAAAAGAAAUGACUGUGAUGUUACAAUUGUGAAAUCUAUGAUUCUUACUUGCUGUGCUUUGCAUAACCUUUGUGAGAGUCACGGGGAGGACUAUGACAAUGACUGGGAUGCACCUGCAGCAGCAGAGCCUGUGGUGGCAGUGGCACAGGGUGUUGAGGAGGAGGGCAGAGAUGUACGAGAGGGUCUGAUGCGUUAUUUUAAUUGCUAAAUAAAUACAUUAUCAUUAAAUAUGUUGUCUCUGCUGU